CCUACGGGUGGCUGCAGUGGGGAAUUUUGUGCAAUGCUCGUAAGAGUGACGCAGCGACGCCGCGUGAAUGACGAAGGCCUUCGGGUCGUAAAGUUCUUUCGACAGGGAAGAAAAUGCCUAUAAGUAACUGUGUCUGUAUUUACUUUACCUGUAUAAGCAGCCCCGGCUAACUCCGUGCCAGCAGCCGCGGUAAUACGGAGGGGGCGAGCGUUGGUCGGAGGGACUGGGCGUAAAGAGCACGUAGGCGGUGUUGUAAGUCAUUAGUCAAAGACUAGAGCUCAACUUUAGUAAGGCUAGUGAUACUAUAAUACUAGAGUAUGAGAGAGGAUGGCAGAAUGCGUGGUGUAGCGGUGAAAUGCGUAGAUAUCAGGAGGAAUACCGUUAGCGAAGGCGGCAAUCUGGCUGGAAACUGACGCUGAGGUGCGAAAGCGUGGGUAGCAAACAGGAUUAGAUACCCCUGUAGUC
rnacentral:rRNA from 1 species